rnacentral:rRNA from 1 species
UGGGGAAUAUUGCACAAUGGGCGCAAGCCUGAUGCAGCCAUGCCGCGUGUAUGAAGAAGGCCUUCGGGUUGUAAAGUACUUUCAGCGGGAGGAAGGCGAUAAGGUUAAUAACCUUGUCGAUUGACGUUACCCGCAGAAGAAGCACCGGCUAACUCCGUGCCAGCAGCCGCGGUAAUACGGAGGGUGCAAGCGUUAAUCGGAAUUACUGGGCGUAAAGCGCACGCAGGCGGUAUGUCAAGUCGGAUGUGAAAUCCCCGGGCUCAACCUGGGAACUGCAUUCGAAACUGGCAGGCUAGAGUCUUGUAGAGGGGGGUAGAAUUCCAGGUGUAGCGGUGAAAUGCGUAGAGAUCUGGAGGAAUACCGGUGGCGAAGGCGGCCCCCUGGACAAAGACUGACGCUCAGGUGCGAAAGCGUGGGGAGCAAACA